rnacentral:rRNA from 1 species
AGAGUUUGAUCAUGGCUCAGGAUGAACGCUGGCGGCGUGCUUAACACAUGCAAGUCGAGCGGAGCUCAAAUGCGGAUCCCCUUCGGGGGUGAAACAUCUGAGCUUAGCGGCGGACGGGUGCGUAACGCGUGGGUAAUCUGCCCUUGUCACCGGGAUAACACAUCGAAAGGUGUGCUAAUACCGGAUGAAAUACAGACCCGGCAUCGGGGCUGUAUCAAAGUCAUGCGGACAAGGAUGAGCCUGCGUCUGAUUAGCUUGUUGGUGGGGUAAAAGCCUACCAAGGCGACGAUCAGUAGCCGACCUGAGAGGGUGAUCGGCCACACUGGAACUGAGACACGGUCCAGACUCCUACGGGAGGCAGCAGUGGGGAAUAUUGCACAAUGGGCGCAAGCCUGAUGCAGCAACGCCGCGUGAGUGAUGAAGGCCUUCGGGUCGUAAAACUCUGUCCUAAGGGAAGAUAAUGACGGUACCUUAGGAGGAAGCCCCGGCUAACUACGUGCCAGCAGCCGCGGUAAUACGUAGGGGGCAAGCGUUAUCCGGAAUUACUGGGCGUAAAGGGUGCGUAGGUGGCCUGACAAGUCAGGGGUCAAAGGCAACGGCUCAACCGUUGUAAGCCCUUGAAACUGUCGGGCUUGAGUUCAGGAGAGGAAAGCGGAAUUCCUAGUGUAGCGGUGAAAUGCGUAGAUAUUAGGAGGAACACCAGUGGCGAAGGCGGCUUUCUGGACUGAUACUGACACUGAGGCACGAAAGCGUGGGGAGCAAACAGGAUUAGAUACCCUGGUAGU